GCUCCAAUAGCGUAUAUUAAUGUUGUUGCAGUUAAAAAGCUCGUAGUUGAAUUUCUGGCUAGAUUAUUAGCUGGCUUCGGUCGUUAAUAAGCUAGUCAUCCGUUAGAGAACUAGGCCGUCCUUAAUUGGUCACCUAGCAGAUCUAACAUUUUUACUUUGAAAAAAUUAGAGUGUUCAAGGCAGGCAAUCGUCAUGAAUAC
rnacentral:rRNA from 1 species